GACGAACGCUGGCGGCGUGCUUAACACAUGCAAGUCGAACGGAAAGGCCCUGCUUUUGUGGGGUGCUCGAGUGGCGAACGGGUGAGUAACACGUGAGUAACCUGCCCUUGACUUUGGGAUAACUUCAGGAAACUGGGGCUAAUACCGGAUAGGAGCUCCUGCUGCAUGGUGGGGGUUGGAAAGUUUCGGCGGUUGGGGAUGGACUCGCGGCUUAUCAGCUUGUUGGUGGGGUAGUGGCUUACCAAGGCUUUGACGGGUAGCCGGCCUGAGAGGGUGACCGGCCACAUUGGGACUGAGAUACGGCCCAGACUCCUACGGGAGGCAGCAGUGGGGAAUAUUGCCCAAUGGGCGGAGGCCUGAUGCAGCAACGCCGCGUGCGGGAUGACGGCCUUCGGGUGGUAAACCGCUUUCGCCUGUGACGAAGCGUGAGUGACGGUAAUGGGUAAAGAAGCACCGGCUAACUCCGU
rnacentral:rRNA from 1 species